UCACCUUUAAGCAAAAAAGCAUGGGUCAAUUUUUAAUGUCCUUAUUAAGAGCUUCUUAAUCUACAGACAUUGUCGGUUUUCCUAACUGUCAAAAAUUAAUGGGUAACUAGCAUGGAUUAGCUGCGGUCAUUAACCAAGGACUAAAAUAAUCCAACGUAACCAGAAAUAUAAUUUCAAUAUCAUAAAACACAUUCUCACUUGUGAAAUGUAAUCCCUUGCUGUCUGGUUUUUAUAUUUCUUUCGUCUGAACAUCCAAAUGCAGCACAGUAGUCCGGCAUUGUCCAUGCAUUUGAAGUACAAGAGCACUGUACAAAGAUAGGGGCGGUUUUGACAUAUUUUUAGGACCCCAAGGCGACAUCUAGUGUAUAGAUAUCUAUGGAUAAUGAUAACAUGAUCAGGAAGCUUGAUGACUACAUUGUACCAAAAGUUAAUGUUAUUCAUGAGCGUGCACGAUUUCACAUGAGAGUUCAGAGGCCUGGGGAAAUGGCUGAAGAAUAUAUUCGCAGCCUGCAUGAGCUAGCCAGUACAUGUGACUUUGGGGCAACAAAGGAUGAAAACAUUCGCGAUCGGCUUGUGAUUGGGAUUUUAGACAGAAAGCUGUCGGAAAAGCUUCAAAUAAUGCCCGAUUUGACACUCAAACAUGCAGUCUGAACAGGUACAAGGACACGUUGAUGAACAAGCUGCGUGUGUUAGUACUCAAAUCAGUGAAGUGACUGGUGCCAGAGGAAAAUCGCAUUACAGUGGAAGAGGUAGACAACACAUAGGCUCAAAACGAAAUCCGACAGAGCAGGCUACAGAAUGGAGAUGUGGAAGAAACGAUGUGGAAGAAAUCCUGGAAAAGGGGACAUAUGCCCAGAAAAAAGUGCUGAAUGUCACAAAUGCAGAAAAAGGGUCACUUUGUUGCAGUUUGAAGAACCCGAGCAGUCCGUGGUCACCAAACCACCAGAGGGCAGCAACGUCACACACUUCCUAGUACAAGCCACAACUCAAGAAUGCAAAUGUGAAACUUGAGAGCCCAGGGGAACACUGCACUGCAAAGGACAGUUUAAAGCCAUCACAGCCUACAGAGAUAAGCAGUACAGUUUUGAUGCGUUCGUCAUGGAUGGCCCCCACAUAAACAAUCUUCUUGGAUGAGAUGCAGCCAGUGCUAUGGGCUCAGUGAAAAGGUUGGAAGAGCUUCAGCCCAUUUCCUCACCUGAACUUGCUUUAGUAAAGAUCAAACCUAUCAAAAUCUGUUUAAAAGAGAAUGCAGUACCCUACAGUGUCCACCCUGCACAUCGAGUGUCCAUAACUUUACUUUCAAAAGUUAAAGCUGAGCUUGAUAGAAUGGUUAAAUGUGAUGUUAUUCAAGAAAUCACCGAACCUACUGAACGGUGCGCCCCUAUGGUAGCUGUUUCAAAGAAGACAGGGCAAAUUAGAAUCUGUGUCGAUCUAAAGCAACUAAAUAAAGCUGUCAAAAGGGAGAAAUUUGUGCUACCAACGAUCGACGACAUUCUUCCUAAGUUAGCACAUGCUGAAGUUUUCUCACUCCUUGAUGCUGCUAGUGGUUUCUGGCAACUGUCACUUGAUAUGGAAUGUGCAAAACUAACAUUUAUUAUUCCUUGAGCUCUGAUUUGAUAAGCUUCGAGUAAUGAACCUUUUUCUGAUACAGUUGGGUUGAAAGCUUCACGUCACCAUCACUAUUUAAUAGAUAUUUUGGUCAUUUUAAAAGGGGAUUUGUAAUUUUCUUAUUUUGAUUUCUUUUAGUUUAAUCUCCAUUACAGUAAAAAUCAGUAAGGACAAAGAUGCCUUAGUGUUUUGUUAAGGAAAAAUGCAGUACUGUUUUCAGUAAAACUUCAAGCCAAGAUAAAAUGUACAUAAAUUUAUUUAACAGACUGUUACAACCCAGUCUGUGGUUGGGCUGCACAGAGUUAUAGCUCAGGAUUCAGUGAUGUGAUACCUUUAUAAAUUACCAAAAGAAAAGACACAAAGUAGUAUUUCUAGGCAAUGUAUUUGUAUUAUUUACAGAUAUAAAUAAUAUUUAUAGCUGACAGUACACCGGUGUCUCUUCAAGGUGGGCCCAGGCAAAAAUAAUAAACAAAUGCCUCUUUUCCACCAAAAAUAACCGGGUGCUGGUUCAGAGCUAGUGCUGGUGCAAAGUUGGUUCCACUGGCGAACCCUCUAAGAGCCGGUUUGCCUUUCCCCCAGCUAGAGAGCAUCACAGAGCCGAGUGUGACGUCACUGUAUACGUGUCACGUUACACAGCGACGUUAGCGCAGCAGCGGCAAACACAA